rnacentral:rRNA from 1 species
UGAGGAAUAUUGGACAAUGGGCGCAAGCCUGAUCCAGCCUGCCGCGUGCAGGAUGACGGUCCUAUGGAUUGUAAACUGCUUUUAUACGGGAAGAAACCCCGGGACGUGUCCCGGAUUGACGGUACCGUAAGAAUAAGGAUCGGCUAACUCCGUG